AUCUACUCCUGAAAAAGAGAAACAUGGCGAUAUGUUGAAGAAUCAUCAGCUCCAUUCUCAGUCAAAGAUUAGCAGUGGAGAUUCAGCUAUCAGGAAACCUACUAGUUCUCAAGAUAAACAGGGUUCUUUCACCAAGAGCUGUAUGUCUAUGAAAUCAGUACCUGAAGAGAAAUUAGCCGCUGAGUCUUUCAUUUCCAAUUUCCCUCAUUUCGUGCGAAUCAUGAAAAAAUUCAACAUUAGUGGCUCUUACACCUUG
rnacentral:misc_RNA from 1 species